rnacentral:rRNA from 1 species
GACGAACGCUGGCGGCGUGCUUAACACGUGCAAGUCGAACGGAAAGGCCCUGCUUUUGUGGGGUGCUCGAGUGGCGAACGGGUGAGUAACACGUGAGUAACCUGCCCUUGACUUUGGGAUAACUUCAGGAAACUGGGGCUAAUACCGGAUAUGAGCUCCUGCUGCAUGGUGGGGGUUGGAAAGUUUCGGCGGUUGGGGAUGGACUCGCGGCUUAUCAGCUUGUUGGUGGGGUAGUGGCUUACCAAGGCUUUGACGGGUAGCCGGCCUGAGAGGGUGACCGGCCACAUUGGGACUGAGAUACGGCCCAGACUCCUACGGGAGGCAGCAGUGGGGAAUAUUGCACAAUGGGCGGAAGCCUGAUGCAGCAACGCCGCGUGCGGGAUGACGGCCUUCGGGUUGUAAACCGCUUUCGCCUGUGACGAAGCGUGAGUGACGGUAAUGGGUAAAGAAGCACCGGCUAACUACGUG